rnacentral:lncRNA from 1 species
GCCAAUUGCAGGAGAUGGAAUUCACAGCAAAAACUCGGACCUUGACGCUCCCACCUCUUCUGAGAACUGGAAACCCCCCAAAGGUCGGAUCUUUAGAGGUCAACAUUGAUGAAUCCCUUCGUUGAAAGCUCCAUGGAAGGAGCAAUCGCCUGCAUUAUUCGAAACUCAGAAGGGACGCUUGUGGAUGCACACAUAAUUAUCUCACAGCUGCGUAUCGCCCCCAUUGCCAUCGUGAAACCAACUCCAUUGCAAAAGGACUGGAUUUCUUCCCCUCCCCAAAUCUGGGUGGAUUUACUUUGGAAGGAAGCCCAGUUCAGGGACCCUGCAUUUUCAAAUUGAAUAAAAGUAAUCGGUUUAUGAUCCACCAAAAAAAAAAGCGAGUAGGAAAUGUUGAUGAAAUUGGCGAUACAUCUCGACAAUGAAGCGUGACCUGCUUUUAUUUACCUUUGAAAGGACGUGAAUCGUUCCGACAUCUUGGCCAAAGUGCUCUACUGAUCGGAGCGUUAUUUGCAUGAACCGAUGGUUUCUCUGCUGCAGUAGCGCAAUGAACGAUAUUCCAUCAAGUUGCGUCGCCGAACGGCUUUUAGAAUUUAGACGCCUCGAUUCCUGGAGCUCUGUGAUUUCCAGAAGUUCAUCCGAAAUUGACC